CCUACGGGAGGCAGCAGUGAGGAAUAUUGGUCAAUGGGCUUACGCCUGAACCAGCCAAGUCGCGUGAGGGAAGACUGCCCUAUGGGUUGUAAACCUCUUUUGUCAGGGAGCAAUUGGCGCUACGUGUAGCGUUAUCUAUAGUACCUGAAGAAAAAGCAUCGGCUAACUCCGUGCCAGCAGCCGGGGUAAUACGGAGGAUGCGAGCGUUCUCCGGGUUUAUUGGGUUUAAAGGGUGCGUAGGCGGAAUGCCAAGUCAGCGGUAAAAUCGGGGGGCUCAACCUCGCUCCGCCGUUGAAACUGGCGGUCUUGAGUGGGCGAGAAGUAGGCGGAAUGCGUGGUGUAGCGGUGAAAUGCAUAGAUAUCACGCAGAACUCCGAUUGCGAAGGCAGCAUACCGGCGCCCAACUGACGCUGAAGCACGAAAGCGUGGGUAUCGAACAGGAUUAGAUACCCGUGUAGUC
rnacentral:rRNA from 1 species